rnacentral:rRNA from 1 species
AUUGAACGCUAGCGGGAUGCCUUACACAUGCAAGUCGAACGGAGUGGCGAACGGGUGAGUAAUGUAUCGGAACGUGCCCAGUAGCGGGGGAUAACUACGCGAAAGCGUAGCUAAUACCGCAUACUAUUGGAGCGGCCGAUAUCGGAGUAGCUAGUUGGUGGGGUAACGGCUUACCAAGGAGACGAUCCGUAGCUGGUUUGGGAGGACGACCAGCCCAACUGGAACUGAGCCACGGCCCAGACUCCUCCGGGAGGCAGCAGUGGGUAAGUUUGGACAAUGGGGGAAACCCUGAUCCAGCCAUGCCGCGUGUGUGAAGAAGGCCUUCGGUUUGGAAAGCACUUUCAGCGAGGAGGCGUUACUCGCAGAAGAAGCACCGGCUAACUCCGUGCCAGCAGCCGCGGUAAUAC